GACAAGAACUCUCGACACAUUUAUACAAAAAGUGUCGUCCGGAGGCCGUAUGAGGUCAUUAGGGAGUUCUCUUUUAAAACCCCCAAAGCUAUUAGUGGUAAAUCGGAAGUUCCCUUCUAAAACUCGUUAGAUCUGCAAAAAAAACGUAAAUAUAUUUAGAACUCUUUCCUCAAAAUGACGAAACCCUUGCACACCCAAACCCUAGAUCUGCUUGCCGUCACUCACCGUCGUUCAAAGCCGCCUCUCCUCGCGGUCAUGUUUUUAUUUAUGGUAUGUUAAAAUCCGCUUGUACAAAAUCUUCUGAUAUUCUACUUUUAUUUUUGUAGAAUUCUGGUAAAAUUGCACCAUUGGAUGAGAUCAUCAAAAUGAAGGAGCAGUAUCGAUUUGGUGUUUUGUUGGAUGAAAGCAACUCUUUUGGCGUACAUGGCUGUACUUGAAGAGGUGUCACAGAACACUGUGGGGGUCGUUUUUUAUCUUAUAGAGGACAAGCCCAUGCUAUUAAAAAAGCUCAAAAAAAAAACAUAAACUAUUUUAUGGCAAGGUAUAUUAAUACUCUGAUCUCAUGUCUAGUGUAUUAGAGCUUAAUUUAAUUAUCUACAUAUCAGUUACCCUC